UACAGAGGGCGCGAGCGUUAAUCGGAAUUACUGGGCGUAAAGGGCGCGUAGGCGGUUUAUCAAGUGAGAUGUGAAAUCCCCGGGCUUAACCUGGGAACUGCAUCUUAAACUGAUAGGCUGGAGUACUGUAGAGGAUAGUGGAAUUUCCGGUGUAGCGGUGAAAUGCGUAGAGAUCGGAAGGAACAUCAGUGGCGAAGGCGACUGUCUGGACAGAUACUGACGCUGAGGCGCGAAAGCGUGGGGAGCAAACAGG
rnacentral:rRNA from 1 species